rnacentral:rRNA from 1 species
CAAAUUAAGCGAGACUACCCGCUGAAUUUAAGCAUAUUAGUAAGCGGAGGAAAAGAAACUAACAAGGAUUUCCUUGGUAGCGGCGAGCGACCAGGAAAAAGCCCAGCACUGAAUUUAAGUGGCUAAACGUUACUUAAAAAUGUAGUGUUGAGGAGGGUUUAAAACAUUACAAUUGUUUCAACUGUCCAAGUCUAUCUUGAACGGGGCCACGGCCCAAAGAAGGUGCCAGGCCCGUAGCUGGCAGUUGACAAUUGUAUUUAAACCUCUCCUUAGAGUCGGGUUGCUUGAGAGUGCAACUCUAAGAAGGUGGUAAACUCCAUCUAAGGCUAAAUAUAACCACAAGACCGAUAGUAAACAAGUACCGUGAGGGAAAGUUGAAAAGAACUUUGAAGAGAGAGUUCAAUAGUACGUGAAACCGUUUAGGGGUAAACGGAAAAGCUCUAAAAAUUCGAAAAGAAAGAUUCAAGUCAUCUCGCAAGUUAUAAUACAGUUUGUUUAGAUUGAUGUAGAAUUUAUUUGGCUGUUAGUCAAUUUAAAUUUCUUAUCUUCUAACUAAUUGUGGCGUAGCUGCGGUUGACCGCACUUCUUUCUUAGUAGGACGUCGCGACCCGCUGACAAGUUAGCUAAUCAUUAAGCUCACUAGCCUGUGUCCAAUUGGUUUUCUUUUUAAGGAAAUUAUAUUGUGUCAUAGAGGAGUUUACAUUGGCAAUUUUGUCGGCGGUAUAAAACGACAGUGGUGAACCGCUUUUAAAGCGUUUUUACACUUGUACAAGCUUUAUUUUUGAUAAUUUUUCUAUCUAGGCAAAUGUCUAGUUGAAAAACAAUAUAGAGCUGUUGGUACAAAUUGUGUUUAAACUGUGUUCACAACACUGGUCGGCGACGAGAAUUUUAGAAACUUUUCCGGCCCGUCUUGAAACACGGACCAAGGAGUCCAACAUGUGCGCAAGUCAUUGGGUUAUAAAACCUAAAGGCGAAACAAAAGUGAAAAAAGCUUUGCUUUUAUAAGGGAAGAUGGUUUGUUUUAAUUUAUUUAAUCAAGCCCGCAUUCCCGGGGCGUCUGUAACUCAUUGCGAGUUUAGGCGGACCUAGAGCGUACACGUUGGGACCCGAAAGAUGGUGAACUAUGCCUGGCCAGGGCGAAGCUAGGGGAAACCCUGGUGGAGGCCCGUAGCGAUUCUGACGUGCAAAUCGAUCGUCAGAGCUGGGUAUAGGGGCGAAAGACUAAUCGAACCAUCUAGUAGCUGGUUCCCUCCGAAGUUUCCCUCAGGAUAGCUGGUGUUUAUGAGAAAAGAAUCUCAUCUGGUAAAGCGAAUGAUUAGAGGCCUUGGGGUCGAAACGAUUUCAACCUAUUCUCAAACUAUUAAUAGAUGAGAAAUUGAGCUUGUUUAAAAUGUAAAGCUUGAGCUUUGAUCAAAACGCCAAGUGGGCCAAUUUUGGUAAGCAGAACUGGCGCUGUGGGAUGAACCAAACGUAGAGUUAAGGCGCCUAAAUCGACGCUCAUGAGACACCAUAAAAGGCGUUGGUUGCUUAAGACAGCAGGACGGUGGCCAUGGAAGUCGGAAUCCGCUAAGGAGUGUGUAACAACUCACCUGCCGAAGCAACUAGCCCUAAAAAUGGAUGGCGCUUGAGCGUCGUGCCUAUACUCUACCGUCAACGGCAAAUUGGGUGGUCACAAAUGGGUGAUUUCGCCAUAAUGCCUUGACGAGUAGGAGGGUCACGGCGAUGAGCGUGGAAGGGUCUGGGCGUAAGCCUGCCUGGAGCCGUCGCCGGUGCAGAUCUUGGUGGUAGUAGCAAAUACUCUAGCGAGAACCUGGAGGACUGAUGUGGAGAAGGGUUUCUUGUGAACAGUUGUUGCACAAGAGUCAGUCGAUCCUAAGCUCUAAGAGAAAUCUAAACAAUGAACGCCUUAAAAUAAAGAAAAGCAAAAAUUUAUUUUUUUUUGAUGGCGUUCAAAGAGCGAAAGGGAAUCCGGUCCCUAUUCCGGAACCCGGUAGCGGAACCGUUCUAAUUCGGGCCCUCAAUUUGAGAGUUCGUCGGGGUAACCCAAAAAGACCCAGAGAAGCCGUUGGAAAAGCCGGAGAGAGUUGUCUCUUCUCUAUAAGCGUUCGAAUUCCCUGGAAUCCUCUAGAAGGGAGAUAGGGAACGGAACGCAAAGAGCACCGCAGUUACGGCGGUGUCCGGAUCUUUUCUUCGGACCUUGAAAAUCUGGGAGAGGGCCACGAGGAACCCCGCACCGGAUCGUACCCAUAUCCGCAGCAGGUCUCCAAGGUUCAAAGCCUCUAGUCGAUAGAAUAAUGUAAGU